rnacentral:lncRNA from 10 species
GUUUAGAAACUCCCUUUUGUAGAAUCUGCAAGUGUACAUUUGAAGCGCUUUGAGGCCUAUGGUGGAAAAGGAAAUAUCUUCAAAUAAAAAUUACACAGAAGCAUUCUGAGAAACAUUUGUGAUGUGUGCAUUCAUCUCACAGUGUUGAAACUAUGUUAUGAUUGAGCGGUUUUGAAACACUCUUAUUGUAGAAUCUGAAGGU